GACGAACGCUGGCGGCGUGCUUAACACAUGCAAGUCGAACGGAAAGGCCCUGCUUUUGUGGGGUGCUCGAGUGGCGAACGGGUGAGUAACACGUGAGUAACCUGCCCUUGACUUUGGGAUAACUUCAGGAAACUGGGGCUAAUACCGGAUAGGAGCUCCUGCUGCAUGGUGGGGGUUGGAAAGUUUCGGCGGUUGGGGAUGGACUCGCGGCUUAUCAGCUUGUUGGUGGGGUAGUGGCUUACCAAGGCUUUGACGGGUAGCCGGCCUGAGAGGGUGACCGGCCACAUUGGGACUGAGAUACGGCCCAGACUCCUACGGGAGGCAGCAGUGGGGAAUAUUGCACAAUGGGCGGAAGCCUGAUGCAACAACGCCGCGUGCGGGAUGACGGCCUUCGGGUUGUAAACCGCUUUCGCCUGUGACGAAGCGUGAGUGACGGUAAUGGGUAAAGAAGCACCGGCUAACUACGUGCCAGCAGCCGCGGUGAUACGUAGGGUGCGAGCGUUGUCCGGAUUUAUUGGGCGUAAAGGGCUCGUAGGUGGUUGAUCGCGUCGGAAGUGUAAUCUUGGGGCUUAACCCUGAGCGUGCUUUCGAUACGGGUUGACUUGAGGAAGGUAGGGGAGAAUGGAAUUCCUGGUGGAGCGGUGGAAUGCGCAGAUAUCAGGAGGAACACCAGUGGCGAAGGCGAUUCUCUGGGCCUUUCCUGACGCUGAGGAGCGAAAGCGUGGGGAGCGAACAGGCUUAGAUACCCUGGUAGUCCACGCUGUAAACGGUGGGUACUAGGUGUGGGGUCCAUUCCACGGGUUCCGUGCCGUAGCUAACGCUUUAAGUACCCCGCCUGGGGAGUACGGCCGCAAGGCUAAAACUCAAAGGAAUUGACGGGGCCCCGCACAAGCGGCGGAGCAUGCGGAUUAAUUCGAUGCAACGCGUAGAACCUUACCUGGGUUUGACAUGGAUCGGGAGUGCUCAGAGAUGGGUGUGCCUCUUUUGGGGUCGGUUCACAGGUGGUGCAUGCCUGUCGUCAGCUCGUGUCGUGAGAUGUUGGGUUAAGUCCCGCAACGAGCGCAACCCUUGUUCACUGUUGCCAGCACGUUAUGGUGGGGACUCAGUGGAGACCGCCGGGGUCAACUCGGAGGAAGGUGGGGAUGACGUCAAGUCCUCAUGCCCCUUAUGUCCAGGGCUUCACGCAUGCUACAAUGGCUGGUACAGAGAGUGGCGAGCCUGUGAGGGUGAGCGAAUCUCGGAAAGCCGGUCUCAGUUCGGAUUGGGGUCUGCAACUCGACCUCAUGAAGUCGGAGUCGCUAGUAAUCGCAGAUCAGCAACGCUGCGGUGAAUACGUUCCCGGG
rnacentral:rRNA from 1 species